CAGUCAAUACAUGUACAGCUGUUAUCGCAAAAUAAACCCCUUCAGGGUGAGACAAGACCCCUCCAUGUCUCAGAAAUUUGAUCAGCUGAUGGAAAAGGUGGCAUACCUAUAAAUUUAUUCAAAGGAAUUAAAAUGAUUUUCAGAAUGAAUCUUUAGCUCAGAACAAAGAAUGAAGAUUUUACAUCCCAGUCUCAGUUAUUUAUGUGUUCUGUGUUUGAAGUUGAACUUCAAAAUUUCGGCUGCUGCUGAAUCAUUGUAGGAAGCAGUUUUAUAAGGAUGAGAUGGAUGACGAUGCCUUGGCAGAGAAGCAGAGAGAGGUGGAGGCAGCCAAAUCAAUGCUCGCAGAGGCAAUCAUGCAUGAGUGCGUCGUCAAGUUAUUGGAACAUCAUGACGACGAGUCACUCGAGUGCCUCUGCUAAAUUCUCACCACUGUUAAACAUCACCUGGACAUCAAGAACGCAAAGAUGAACCCAGAAUAGUGGUCUGCUGACACAUCCAUGUUGACAUGUUGUGAUUUAUUUUUCUUUCAGUCACAAACGGACAGCUAUUUUAAGGAAAUUGGGAUUUUGGUGAAUAAUUGAAAGAUUAUGUCUUCGCUUCCUGCUGCAGGAUGUUUUUGAAUUGCGUCUGCUGAUAUGGGUCCCAAAACCAUCAACCAGAUUCACAAAAGGGCCAAGAUGGAGGAGGAGAAGGAAAAGAGGAGGGUCUACUGAGAGAUUGCUGCCUAAUGGAGGCAUAAGAAAGCAGCAACAGCAAGACUUGGAGGGGGCUAGAUAGCAUCAGUG